rnacentral:rRNA from 1 species
AGCGAACGCUGGCGGCAGGCCUAACACAUGCAAGUCGAGCGCCCCGCAAGGGGAGCGGCAGACGGGAUAGUAACACGUGGGAACGUACCCUUCAGUUCGGAACAACCCAGGGAAACUUGGGCUAAUACCGAAUACGUCCGUAAGGAGAAAGAUUUAUCGCUGAAGGAUCGGCCCGCGUCUGAUUAGCUAGUUGGUGAGGUAAUGGCUCACCAAGGCGACGAUCAGUAGCUGGUCUGAGAGGAUGAUCAGCAUCACUGGGACUGAGACACGGCCCAGACUCCUACGGGAGGCAGCAGUGGGGAAUAUUGGACAAUGGGCGCAAGCCUGAUCCAGCCAUGCCGCGUGGAUGAUGAAGGCCCUAGGGUUGUAAAGUCCUUUUAACGGGGAAGAUAAUGACGGUACCCGUAGAAUAAGCCCCGGCUAACUUCGUGCCAGCCGCCGCUGUAAAAC